rnacentral:rRNA from 1 species
ACUUACCUGAGUACUACGAAUAUUAUAAUUUAAAACUCAAAGAGCUUGGCGGUGCCUUAAACUUUUUAGGGGAACCUGUCUCAUAAUCGAUAGUCCACGUUAGACCUUUCCUUUUUUUGUAAAAUUCAGUAUGUAUACCGUCGUCGUCAGGUAACUUUUAAAAAUAAAAAAGUUAGCGAUUGGAGGUAUAACCUUAAACGUCAGAUCAAGGUGCAGCUUAUAAAAUGGAGAAGAUGGGUUACAAUUAAAAAUUAUAAUUACGGAAAUAAAAUUGAAAUAAUUUAUUGAAGGAGGACUUAAUAGUAAAAAAUUUAUAUAAAAUUUUUGAAUUAAGCUCUAAGGCGUGCACACAUCGCCCGUCACCCUCA